UACGUAGGGUGCGAGCGUUGUCCGGAAUUACUGGGCGUAAAGAGCUCGUAGGUGGUUUGUCGCGUUGUUCGUGAAAACUCACAGCUUAACUGUGGGCGUGCGGGCGAUACGGGGCAGACUGGAGUACUGCAGGGGAGACUGGGAAUUCCUGUGUAGGCGUGGGAAUGCGCAGAUAUCAGGAGGAACACCGGUGGCGAAGGCGGGGUCUCUGGGCAGUAACUGACGCUGAGACACGAAAGCGUGGGGUAGCAAACAGG
rnacentral:rRNA from 1 species